ensembl:snoRNA small nucleolar RNA, H/ACA box 17A
ACUGCCCCUAGAGGCGUUGCAGGCGUGGCUGCUGUGUCACAUCUGUGUCAUUAGGCGGCAGAGAGAAUCCAGGCUAUGUCUACGCUCAGUGUUCGGACCCAUGAAUACCUGAAUGAUUAGUAGCCUGACACUG